rnacentral:rRNA from 1 species
CUACGGGGUGCACCAGGAGCGAAAACUUUCCAAUGCAUUAAUGUGUGAGAAGGGAACCUGGAGUGAUUGCGCUAAGCGUAAUCUUUUGUUUAGGCUAAAGAUCUAUUCGAAUAAGGGGUGGGCCAGACAGGUGCCAGCCGCCACGGUAAUACCUGCGCCCCAAGUGGUGAUCACUUUUAUUGGGCUUAAAGCGUCCGUAGCCGGCUUAAUAAGUUUCUGGUGAAAUCCUGCAGCUAACUGCAGGGCGUGCUGGAAAUACUGUUAAGCUUGGGACCGGGAGAAGUCAGAGGUAUUCCAUGUGUAGGGGUUAUAUCCUUUAAUCCAUGGAGGACCACCUGUGGCGAAGGCGUCUGACUAGAACGGGUCCGACGGUGAGGGACGAAAGCUAGGGGAGCGAUCGGGAUUAGAUACCCUCGUAGUC